rnacentral:lncRNA from 1 species
AAUAUAUCAUAGCAAAACUUGAGGAUAAAUACACUGGAAUCUGAGACAGAUUACUUGAAUGUGAACACUAGCGGUCCAUAGUCCACAUGUUAUCUUCUUAAACUUUCCCAUAAGGCUAUAUUAUUUAGGUUCAGUCAGGUUAAUAGAAUGAAAGGCUUUAACAUAGGGAUUAGAGUUUACAGAAAAGAAAAGAAGAUGUAGGGAAACAAAGGUCAGCCAGGUAAUCAACAAAGGCCAAGAAAUGCAGCCAGAAAAUCAAGGUGGUUUAAGACCUUAGCCAAAACUACUGGAGCACGUGAUUGUCAAAGGAACCUGCUGAGAUCUUCAGAAAUAGCCUGCCUGUUUCUGUUAACAGCAUCAAAGCAGAUUUAAAAAAGCUGAUCUGUAAGAGAUCCAGAAUACACACUGCAAUGUUGAAGAAAAAUCAAAAUUGGAGGACUAACACUUUCCAAUUUCAAAGCUUACUGCAAAGCUACUGUAAUAUAAACAGUAGGGUGUUGGUGUAAUAAUAGACAUAUAGAAUAAUGGAAUAGAAUUGAGAGGCCAUACAUAAUCCCAUGCCCUAUGUUCAAUUGAUUUUUAUCAUGGAUGCGAAGACCAGCCAAUGGGGAAAGGAGAAUCUCUUCAACAAAUGCUGUUUGAUCAACUGUAUAUCCACAUGUAAAAUAUUGAAGGUGGAUGCUGCCUGUCCUACAGUAAACAGACAAAUCAACUCAAAAUACAUCAAACAACUAAUUGUAACUGCUAAAACUAUACAAUUUCAUAGAAAUUAAAUUGGACUUCAUAAAAAUUAAAAAAAUUUGUGUAUCAAAGAUAAUAUCGAGGAUGUAAGAAGUCAACCUUUGAAAUGGAAGAAAUAUUUGAAAAUUAUAUACCUGAUAAGUGUCUAAUAUCCAGAAUACAUAAAGAACUCUUACAACUCAACAACAAAAGAACUCUUACAACUUAAAAACAAAAGAGCAGACAAUUCAAUUUAAAAAUGGGUGAAAGACUUGAAUAAACAUUUCUCCAAAGAAAUUAUGCAAAUGACUAACAAACAUAUAAAAAGAUGCUCAACAUCAUUAUUUAGUAGAAUAAUGGAAAUCAAAACCACAAUGAGAUACCACUUCACAUUCAUGGCUAUAAAUUAUUUAAUGAAAAAUAGCAGUAACCGGCAAAGAUGUGAAAAAAUAAUACCCAUCAUUAUUGCUGAUUGGCAUGUAAAAUGUCGUAGUCUCUUUGGAAAAUAGUUUGUUACUGGCUCAAAAAGUUAAACAUAGAAUUAUCUAUGAGCCAGAAAUUCUAUUCCUGUGUAUAUAGCCCCCCAAAAUUGAAAACAGGUAUUUAAACAAAUACUUGUAUGAGUGAUUAUA